GAUGAACGCUGGCGGCGUGCCUAAUACAUGCAAGUCGAGCGAAUGGAUUAAGAGCUUGCUCUUAUGAAGUUAGCGGCGGACGGGUGAGUAACACGUGGGUAACCUGCCCAUAAGACUGGGAUAACUCCGGGAAACCGGGGCUAAUACCGGAUAACAUUUUGAACUGCAUGGUUCGAAAUUGAAAGGCGGCUUCGGCUGUCACUUAUGGAUGGACCCGCGUCGCAUUAGCUAGUUGGUGAGGUAACGGCUCACCAAGGCAACGAUGCGUAGCCGACGUGAGAGGGGAAUCGGCCACAGUGAGACAGAGACACGGACCAGACUCCUACGGGAGGCAGCAGUAGGGAAUCUUCCGCAAUGGACGAAAGUCUGACGGAGCAACGCCGCGUGAGUGAUGAAGGCUUUCGGGUCGUAAAACUCUGUUGUUAGGGAAGAACAAGUGCUAGUUGAAUAAGCUGGCACCUUGACGGUACCUAACCAGAAAGCCACGGCUAACUACGUGCCAGCCGCCGCAGUAA
rnacentral:rRNA from 1 species